GAGCUGCAACUGGAGGAGAGCUGUGCGGAGGCGCAGGACGGGGAGCUGGACGGGCUGUGGACGACCAUCACCAUCUUCAUCACACUCUUCCUGUUAAGCGUGUGCUACAGUGCCACCGUCACCUUCUUCAAGUGAAGUGGAUCUUCUCCUCGGUGGUGGACCUGAAGCAGACCAUCAUCCCCGACUACAGGAACAUGAUCGGACAGGGGGCCUAGGGCCACCCUCUGCGGGGUGUCCAGGGCCGCCCAGACCCCACACACCA
rnacentral:lncRNA from 1 species